CUCCAUUUUAAAAAGUCUUUGGGGUGUUAGAUGAGAUCUUUGCAUUAUAUGAUGCUGUUCAUUGAAAUUGCUGGAACAAAUAAGUUCAUGGCAUUUUUAAUAAUUGUCAUGAUUUUGUAUCACAUGCACAUUCUUAGUCCUUUUUUUCCAUUUAGACAGUUAUUGUGAAGUCUGAGUCUCCUCUCUCGCCACUUUUACACUGGUAUGGUGUCUUUUAUUUCAGUGCAGCGGAACUGUAACCAAGAGGCACAUCAGACCCAAGACAUCUUCUUUGCAAGUGAAACUGUGAGGAAUCGGUGUUUCCAAAUGUUGUCAGGAAAAGGUGUGGUAUAGUGCAGAACUUGACAAGAACUGCAGAUGGUAUGUUGAUAUGCUGUCAGGAGGCAGGAUUCAGUUUGCCUGUUAAAAAGAGGUUUAAAAAAAGAUUAAAAGCCAUCGAAAAGGAGCAGUGGAGUUGUCAAGAAAAAGCUGAAAGCUUACGGAAUCCGGGCCAGCGCACAGGCUGAAAUCACAAGUCUGCUGAUCCUACGGAGCCUGACUCAUGUCUCUGCCAACCACUCGCAGCAGCCUUCCCCAGAGGGAGUGAAGAGCUUGAUGGAUGUUGUAGUGCGGRUUAUCAGAGUGCAUGCUAAUGAAACAACAGAUCCAUUACAGUAUUUAGUCAUUUUGCAAGAUCCAAUUACAUGAACUUUGUGAAGUAUAAAAUAGUUUGAUUUUACCCUGUGCUCAUCCUGUAAAUGAUGAUGUCUCUAAAAGAUAUUCCCAUCCUGUCAUUAUUUCCUUGUGCUGAUUCAUCUGGGUUGGAGAUUAUUUAGAGCCAGGAUUUUGAUUCUGCCUUGUUGCUGAUAAUAUUUUUGUAAAUCUGUUUGAUAAUUAUCAUUGGAUAAAACUGAAGAAUGCCUGAGUCUUUGGCUUGCUCGAUGUGACAUGUAAAGUAGAACUUUCUUGCUGUUAGGGAUCAGAAGGCAGGGGRCUGACGUUUGAAUUAUCAUGUGAAAUUACAUUGUCUCUGCUACAUAGCAAUUCAGACCAUGAUUGUGAUAGUCCCUUUCGUCCUUUAAAAAUGAGAAUUUAUGACUCAAAGUGCUGCUUCUCUGUCAGCCACAAAAUUUUUACCAUUAUGCUGUAUCUUAUUUUUAAUGGUAUAAUAUUCUAUCCCUUUUAGUUGCAAGUGUAGUGUUCUGAAUGCAAACUGAUAUACAAUCAUUUUACUGUGUCUGCAAACAGAGAAAAAAGAUGGAACAAAUUAUAUAUUCAGUGGUGGUGGU
rnacentral:lncRNA from 1 species